rnacentral:tRNA from 1 species
CCGCGCCCUCGGCGAUGGCGCGGCGGACGGCCCUCAGGUGGCCGUGCAGGUAGGCGAUGCGCUCGGGGUCGUGGACGCGGCC